AGAUAAGCAUAGUUUUGACAUCCAGCACUGACUCAGUGUGUGUCCUUGUCGGUGGUGGCAUCUCCUGCUAUUGCUACGCUGUACAUUAAGUUGCACAAGGAAUUGAAUAUUUGCAAGAGUUGAUUACCAAUUUAACUUGCUUAGCGAACAAGUGUUUGGACCUAGUUCUUUGACCCAUUAUGUGUCUGUGCAAUCCUUUUUCUAGCACCCAUAGAAUGGGUUUUGAUGCUUUUGAAUAUAAGAUAAAGAUAUCAAACUAACUAAACUCGGUGUUGGAGUGAAUGGUGAAAAAGUUGAAGCUUGUCUUGGUUGGAGGGGCUGCAGUCUGCCUUCCACACCACCACUCCCAUAUAUACAUAUGCUGGACUGGAGAAGCUGUGAGAGACCAGUGGUGACGUAUUAAUAGUUUGGAGGAAGUGUCGCUGAUGCUGUAUGGUCAUGACUGCAGCUUCCAUGAUGUGGACCUACCGACUCGCUAUUCUCACUCUCAUACUGCUGGCAGAAGCGUCAAGAGAGGGUGAUGAGAUGUGUGGUGCGAUAAGAGCAGGGGAUCUUCAAGCUGUGGAAGACAUGCUUGCUAGAGGCGUACAUGUAGAUGCUGUUGACCAUAUCCGUGAGUAUUAUUCCAAGAG